UCCGGUUUGUCACCGGCAGUCUCGCAUGAGUCCCCAACUAAAUGCUGGCAACAUGCGACGGGGGUUGCGCUCGUUGCGGGACUUAACCCAACAUCUCACGACACGAGCUGACGACAGCCAUGCACCACCUGUGAUCGUGCCCCGAAGGGAGGGUGUGUUUCCACACCGGUCACGAACAUGUCAAGCCCAGGUAAGGUGGGGAUGACGUCAUGGAAGCAAGCU
rnacentral:misc_RNA from 1 species